UACGUAGGUGGCAAGCGUUGUCCGGAAUUAUUGGGCGUAAAGCGCGCGCAGGCGGUCCUUUAAGUCUGAUGUGAAAGCCCACGGCUCAACCGUGGAAGGUCAUUGGAAACUGGAGGACUUGAGUACAGAAGAGGAAAGCGGAAUUCCACGUGUAGCGGUGAAAUGCGUAGAGAUGUGGAGGAACACCAGUGGCGAAGGCGGCUUCCUGGUCCAGCACCGACGUUCAGGCACGAAAGCGUGGGGAGCAAACAGG
rnacentral:rRNA from 1 species